rnacentral:rRNA from 1 species
GACGAACGCUGGCGGCGUGCUUAACACAUGCAAGUCGAACGGAAAGGCCCUGCUUUUGUGGGGUGCUCGAGUGGCGAACGGGUGAGUAACACGUGAGUAACCUGCCCUUGACUUUGGGAUAACUUCAGGAAACUGGGGCUAAUACCGGAUAGGAGCUCCUGCUGCAUGGUGGGGGUUGGAAAGUUUCGGCGGUUGGGGAUGGACUCGCGGCUUAUCAGCUUGUUGGUGGGGUAGUGGCUUACCAAGGCUUUGACGGGUAGCCGGCCUGAGAGGGUGACCGGCCACAUUGGGACUGAGAUACGGCCCAGACUCCUACGGGAGGCAGCAGUGGGGAAUAUUGCACAAUGGGCGGAAGCCUGAUGCAGCAACGCCGCGUGCGGGAUGACGGCCUUCGGGUGGUAAACCGCUUUCGCCUGUGACGAAGCGUGAGUGACGGUAAUGGGUAAAGAAGCACCGGCUAACUUCGU